rnacentral:misc_RNA from 1 species
CAAAUGCGACAAAUGCGAUCUGAGCACUGAAAAGUCGAAUGCACAUUGCGCCUUGGGAUUUACAUCCCUUGGCACGACUGGUUCAGGGUCGUUUCUACCCAAAGGCAGUAGACGACUUGCAUUGCCGCAUACGGCUUGGCACUGGAAAAGUUUUAUGCUAACAAAAACACAUCCGGGGCCUUGCCUUUUGCAUGGUGUUUUAUGUGCCCGGACAAGCUCUGGUCCAACACCGGUCGUGUAAAAAAGUUUUUUGCCUUAAACAAGCAAGAACUGACUGGUUGUUCGGCUCCAGGCUGGCCGUGGCACAAAUCAUUUCUUCGACCUGAACUCAGACGUGACUACCCGCUGAACUUAA